UGUAUUUAAAAUUUCAAAACUUUUUUUUUUCUUUCUUCCAUUUGCAGUAUUUGCUGUCUCUUUUAGAAGUCCCAGCAGAACACAUAUGUUAACAGAAAAUGGAUGAAUGAGUACCCUCUAGAGGCAGAGUUCAGCUGGGGAAAAUUCCAAGGUAUGGAGAAGAAGUAUCAGAGAACAUAAACAAGGCUUCUGUGAGGAGAAGAGAGUUGGGAUUACUCAAGACUCACAUAAAUACAAACAUGGUGGGCAACAGGUAACUUUGCAGUGCAAAUCACGUGGAUGUAACCUAGACACACUGGAAGAGAAAGAAGUCGAAGAAAAUAUUCAGUGGAGUUGUUUAGUCUUAAUAGAUACAUGGGAAUGUAUUUUAA
rnacentral:lncRNA from 1 species